rnacentral:rRNA from 1 species
CAGCAGCCGCGGGAAUACGAAGGGUGCAAGCGUUAAUCGGAAUUACUGGGCGUAAAGCGCGCGUAGGUGGUUUGGUAAGAUGGAUGUGAAAUCCCCGGGCUCAACCUGGGAACUGCAUCCAUAACUGCCUGACUAGAGUACGGUAGAGGGUGGUGGAAUUUCCUGUGUAGCGGUGAAAUGCGUAGAUAUAGGAAGGAACACCAGUGGCGAAGGCGACCACCUGGACUGAUACUGACACUGAGGUGCGAAAGCGUGGGGAGCAAACAGGAUUAGAUACCCGGGUAGUCCCUGUCUCUUAUAC